CGGCGGACGGGUGAGUAACGCGUGGGUAACCUGCCUCAUACAGGGGGAUAACAGUUGGAAACGGCUGCUAAUACCGCAUAAGCGCACAGUACUGCAUGGUACGGUGUAAAAAACUCCGGUGGUAUGAGAUGGACCCGCGUCUGAUUAGGUAGUUGGUGGGGUAACGGCCUACCAAGCCGACGAUCAGUAGCCGACCUGAGAGGGUGACCGGCCACAUUGGGACUGAGACACGGCCCAA
rnacentral:rRNA from 1 species